UACGUAGGGUGCAAGCGUUAAUCGGAAUUACUGGGCGUAAAGCGUGCGCAGGCGGUUUUGUAAGUCUGUCGUGAAAUCCCCGGGCUCAACCUGGGAAUUGCGAUGGAGACUGCAAGGCUAGAAUCUGGCAGAGGGGGGUAGAAUUCCACGUGUGAGCAGUGAAAUGCGUAGAGAUGUGGAGGAACACCGAUGGCGAAGGCAGCCCCCUGGGUCGAAGAUUGGACG
rnacentral:rRNA from 1 species